UGAAUGAGCUGUCCUGAGUGUCACGU
rnacentral:piRNA from 1 species